rnacentral:rRNA from 1 species
AACGAACGCUGGCGGCAUGCCUAACACAUGCAAGCCGAACGAUUGCCUUCGGGUGAUAGUGGCGCACGGGUGCGUAACGCGUGGGAAUCUGCCCUUAGGUUCGGAAUAACAGCUGGAAACGGCUGCUAAUACCGGAUGCUAUCGCGAGAUCAAAGAUUUAUCGCCUGAGGAUGAGCCCGCGUUGGAUUAGGUAGUUGGUCGGGUAAAGGCCUACCAAGCCGACGAUCCAUAGCUGGUCUGAGAGGAUGAUCAGCCACACUGGGACUGAGACACGGCCCAGAGUCCUACGGGAGGCGGCAGAGGGGGAUAUUGGACAAUGGACGCAAGCCUGAUCCAGCAAUGCCGCGUGAGUGAUGAAGGCCCUAGGGUAGUAAAGCUCUUUUACCCGGAAGGGUAAUGACUGUACCGGGAGAAUAAGCCCCGGCUAACUCCGUG